UUCUGGUCAAGCCGCCCAUCUCAACCAUGUCUCCUUCUUACCAUAGACUGUAGCCCACAUAAAAAACACGGGCCUUAAAGCAGCGCCAGACCGCAACGACGAAGAACAGAGAGAAGCGGGCUAAGUUGGAAAAACGAGAUCCCAUGGGCCCAGAAGCGGGUCUUAAGUGUAAAAACACCAUCAUUCGGGAUUUUGCCGCCAUUUGCCUAAGGAGUUGUUUUUUUUACCUUGGAAACUCCGAUGGUGAGCGAGUCCCAGAGAUGAUGCACCCUAUAUGAUGAGAUCAGGCCAUGGUUUGGUCAGCUGCUUCGGAUCCCAUUCAACAGGACUGACACAUCAGAUUACAGGACACUGGCAGAUAAGAAAGAUCCACCACACGUCCAUUAUGCUGCCCGGGUAGAGAUACAAAUAAGUGAAAGACCCUGGACACUUUUUAAAAUUGAAUUUUUUAUGAAAGAGCUCUUCUUAUUCUGGGGAUUGUUUCAAACAUGGUCGGUGUACUAUGAGAGUGUCAAAGGUGCUGUAAUAAACCUGCCCACUCUUCUUUAAUCACACACAGUCUAUUUCUUACACCUACUAUACUUCUCAGAACUUAGGUUGGUAAGUUAGCUAAAGUGCUACACUAGUGUUAAAUAUUCUACACCUGUCUUUAGCAUUCAAAAACUAUGCUACAGGACUUUCCCCAGUACGUUGAACUAUGACGCUAAGGGGCUCUCAAGUGCGUUAUAAAGUGACAACUAAGGGUCUUGACCAUUCGUACAUAUGUGACAACUUGGGAGUGAGAAUGAGUUGGGUUGUAGAUGGUUCAUUUUAUAUCAACAGUUGUACAGUUUAUGCAGCAGUAGUCUCUCAUGUUGUUGAUGUGUUAUUUUGUGAACGAAUGGCUGAAAGGCAUUUUGUAAUAAAUAAUAUGUUCUGCAUCA